AUGGAGGGCUGUGCCGUGAUACGAGGUGCUAUGCCGUGCGGUGCCGUGCGGAGUGACGCUGUGCCGCGCCGUGCUAUACCGUGCUAUACCGUGCUAUACCGUACCGUACCGUGCUAUACCGUGCUAUACGGUACUAUAACGUGCUAUACCGUACCGUACCGUGCUAUACCGUGCUAUACCGUACCGUACCGUGCUAUACCGUACCGUACCGUACCGUGCUAUACCGUACCGUACCGUGCUAUGCCGUGCUAUACCGUGCUAUACAGUGCUAUACCGUACUAUACAGUUCUAUACCGUACCAUACCGUACUAUACCGUACUAUACCGUACUAUACCGUACCAUACCGUACUAUACCGUACCAUACCGUACUAUACCGUACUAUACCGUACUAUACCGUACCAUACCGCACUAUACGGUACCGCGCCGCCCUCCGGACGAACCUCUCCCCGCUUCCGACCCGGGUCCCUCCCACCAGCCCCGGUUCCCUCAAGUUCCCUCUAUCGUCCCGUCGGGGGCGGCUGGAGCGGGACACGCGGUUCCGACCCCUCGGGCCCACCCGUCUCAGUGCGACGCCGCCAAAGGGGACGCGCGACGGCAGCGGCCCCGGCCCCAACGGGCGGCGGAGCGGGCGGGCACGGCCGUGGCCUGGCGCACGUCCGCAGUCGGGCCCCGCUGCCGGCCCGGUGCCGCCGUGUGAUUCUUUAUCGUGAAGAAUCGCGGUUCGAUCCGGGCGGCUGCGAGGAGCCUUUGUUCGGAAACCAUCGAAAGGACGAGCCCGGCUGGAGGGAACCGGGCGGCCGCCCCUCGCCGCGGCUGAGACGCGGAGAGCGUCCCUCGGUCACCCCGAGCGGAACGGGACGGCCGUUCUCCGGGCUCCCGGCCCACGGAGCGGGGCUCACCGGGGAGCCGAGUCCCGCUGCGGGCGGAGCGCUUCGCGUCUUGCCGUGGAAAUCUGUCUCGCCACGAACGCUCCCGGGGCUCCUUUCCCCCCACGGCGGCGCUGCCGGAACCCGACGGGGCAGAACCGCUGCGGGUCGCGGGGCCGCACCGAGUCCCGGGAUCGGGUGGGGGCUGAACACCGGACGGGACGGGGUCGGCGCUCCGGGACCGGGGGGCUCCGGGACGGCCGGGAAGGGCCUCCGGCGGGCGGGGAAAUGCGGAAAACAAAAUCUUGGCUCUGGACCCGCUCAGGACGGCCGUGUCGCGCCGGACCGGUACCUCGGUACCGUGGCUCCCCCGCCCCGCCCCGUCGGCCCCGUGGCCAUCAGACAGCGAGGCGGUUUAAGACCAAGCGCGUGCCGGGGCUCCUCUCCCGUUCUGCUGCUCAGCGGCGGCUACUGGCGGAGUCCGGCCCGACGGGGCGGCUCCCGAAGACAGGGACACGGAGCAAUCCGCCCCGUGAAAGGACCCGGUGCCGUUCCGCCGUCGGGCCCGGGGCUGCCGGUAGGGCCAGGAAGCUCCGCCAGACUGCGCAGGGAAAUCCAGGGUUGGGGGCGCAUUGGAAUCCCCAGGGUCUCGGCAGCGAGCCGGCAGCCGGUCGGAGACAGUGAGGGCCGUCGGUGUGGGUCAAUGCACGGCACCGGGCACUGA
ensembl:lncRNA